AGCGAACGCUGGCGGCAGGCCUAACACAUGCAAGUCGAACGAACCUUUCGGGGUUAGUGGCGGACGGGUGAGUAACACGUGGGAACGUGCCUUUAGGUUCGGAAUAACUCAGGGAAACUUGUGCUAAUACCGAAUGUGCCCUGCGGGGGAAAGAUUUAUCGCCUUUAGAGCGGCCCGCGUCUGAUUAGCUAGUUGGUUGAGGUAAUGGCUCACCAAGGCGACGAUCAGUAGCUGGUCUGAGAGGAUGAUCAGCCACAUUGGGACUGAGACACGGCCCAAACUCCUACGGGAGGCAGCAGUGGGGAAUCUUGCGCAAUGGGCGAAAGCCUGACGCAGCCAUGCCGCGUGAAUGAUGAAGGUCUUAGGAUUGUAAAAUUCUUUCACCGGGGACGAUAAUGACGGUACCCGGAGAAGAAGCCCCGGCUAACUUCGUG
rnacentral:rRNA from 1 species